UCCGGAUAUCUGAUGGUUAGUGGCUCUGUGGAGCCUCAGGAAAACUUGGGGUGGAAGGGGUAAGACCUCUGUUUGGGACGGUGUUGGGAGCAAAGCUUGUUCUUGUGCGGGAAGAGGGAAUAAAACAGAUAGUAGCAGGCCACAGCGGAGAACAACAGAGACGUCUGCCUCGUUUUUGUGUGUGCACAGAUCUUGUGUUUGAGACUGCUGAGAGAGGCCUACCACAGUGUGGUUCGCCUUUGCUCAGUACCGGCGAUGAUGAGGAUGAGGAUGAGGAUGAAGAAGAAAGAGAAUAUGGCAAGUGUGUCGAGAGUUCAGGGCAAUUAGAAAUGCCGGAUAACCCGGGAGCCAGUGAUUCAUGCCUAUAAUCUAGCUACUCAGGAGGCUGAAGCCCAACACUGACAGACAACUUCAAGAGCCUCUUAUCUCCCCAUUACUCAGCAAAAGCAGAAGCAGAGCUGUGGCCCAAGUGGUAGAGUGCCAGCCUUGAGCAAAUAAGCUAAGAGGCAAUCGCCUUUAGUCUCCUUUAUUUAGAGUCAAGGAGAAAUGGGCUGUACCUGGAGAUGUGGGAUCUAACAAGAAGUUUUGAUUUCUGCUAAGCUAAGAAGAGAUAAUGACCCAGCCCCAACCUUCCUUUGACGCAACUGGUCCAGAAUCGGUGUAACUAAUUGCUAGAGGUGUUGGAAAUCUCCGCCUGUGUGUGCAAUGUAAAAUUGUAUUUUCAGUGUAUUGCAGUGUUUGUAGUAUUCUCAUGAACAACCUCUGUCCCUUGUCAGCACCACAACUGUCUUCUAGCCACCAUUACCUACACAACAAUAAGACCUGACAUUUAUUAAAUGUUGCUAGGCACCAUUAUCUCCAUCUUCACCUUGGCUCUCUAAGGUAGAUGGUGUGAUUAGCCCUUGUAAACUAAAUAGUUGUAGAAAAUGAACCUUACAGAGUUGUACCCCAGUGUCACAGCUCAGAAAUAUUACAGAAUGAAAAGCCAAAGUCCAUGUAGCCUCAAGGUUCUUGUCCUUAACAAGAAUUCUUCUAUAUCACCUUACAAAUGAGAGGUUUUACUGGUAAAAAUAGGUGCAUAUUUCCUUCCUAUUCUGAUUCAUUGUUAAGACUGCAUUUUGACAAUAAUAAAAUAACUCAGCAGAAUGAAAAGAAUUCACAGCUCCAACAUCCUGUUGCAGCAACUGUUUUUAUUUCUCUUCAUUUCCUUUCACUCCUUAUCCAUAUGUUCAUAUUUUACAUAGUCAUAGUUGCAAUUUUAUGUUCUGCUUUUUAUGCUUAAAACCUUAAGCAUGUUCCUUGUUGCUCUUUAGUCUGUAAUGGAUGCAUACUACUGGAUUUUGUAAAUGUGCUGUGAUUUCAUUAGCUAGACAACCACAAUGGAAGAACUUUCUAGGUUACUUUUUGUUGUUGUUGUUUAGUUUUAUAAACUAUGAUGCAGAAAACUAGUUUAUUUCCCCUUCUUUCUUCUUUUGUCAGUUUUUUUUAAAGAAUAAAUUCCCUGGAAGUGAGAAUGACAAACAAGAACUUGGACAUAUUUUAGGAGACUCUGUAUCUUUGAUCAUAGAAAUAAAUUUGUAACUGGCAAGAACAGAUUAAAUGCAUGAAUUAUUGCUUAGGGA